rnacentral:rRNA from 1 species
GAUGAACGCUAGCGGCAGGCCUAAUACAUGCAAGUCGAACGAUACCAGAGAGCUUGCUUUCUGGGAAAGUGGCGCACGGGUGCGUAAACGCGUAUGCAACCUACCUUAAUCAGGGGGAUAGCCUCUCGAAAGAGAGAUUAACACCGCAUAAAAUCACACUUCGGCAUCGAAGAAUGAUCAAAUAUUUAUAGGAUUAAGAUGGGCAUGCGUGACAUUAGUUUGUUGGUGAGGUAACGGCUCACCAAGACUACGAUGUCUAGGGGAUCUGAGAGGAUGACCCCCCACACUGGUACUGAGACACGGACCAGACUCCUACGGGAGGCAGCAGUAAGGAAUAUUGGUCAAUGGGGGCAACCCUGAAACCAGCCAUGCCGCGUGCAGGAAAAACGGCCCUACGGGUUGUAAACUGCUUUUAUACGGGAAUAAAUCAUGCUACGUGUAGUGUGUUGAAUGUACUGUAAGAAUAAAGGAUCGGCU